AUUGAACGCUGGCGGCAGGCCUAACACAUGCAAGUCGAGCGGAUGAAGGGAGCUUGCUCCUGGAUUCAGCGGCGGACGGGUGAGUAAUGCCUAGGAAUCUGCCUGGUAGUGGGGGAUAACGUCCGGAAACGGGCGCUAAUACCGCAUACGUCCUGAGGGAGAAAGUGGGGGAUCUUCGGACCUCACGCUAUCAGAUGAGCCUAGGUCGGAUUAGCUAGUUUGUGGGGUAAAGGCCUACCAAGGCGACGAUCCGUAACUGGUCUGAGAGGAUGAUCAGUCACACUGGAACUGAGACACGGUCCAGACUCCUACGGGAGGCCGCAGUGGGGAAUAUUGGACAAUGGGCGAAAGCCUGAUCCAGCCAUGCCGCGUGUGUGAAGAAGGUCUUCGGAUUGUAAAGCACUUUAAGUUGGGAGGAAGGGCAGUAAGUUAAUACCUUGCUGUUUUGACGUUACCAACAGAAUAAGCACCGGCUAACUUCGUG
rnacentral:rRNA from 1 species